rnacentral:rRNA from 1 species
CACAGGGAGGUAGUGACAAUAAAUAACAAUACAGGGCUCUUUGAGUCUUGUAAUUGGAAUGAGUACAAUUUAAACACCUUAACGAGAACCAAUUGGAGGGCAAGUCUGGUGCCAGCAGCCGCGGUAAUUCCAGCUCCAAUAGCGUAUAUUAAAGUUGUUGCAGUUAAAAAGCUCGUAGUUGAACUUUGGGCUUGUCCAGUUGGUCUCCUUAACGGGAUGUACUCUCAGGACGGGCUCCACCCUUUGGGGAACCAGUCUGCUCUUAACUGGGUGGACUGGAGAUCCAAGACUUUUACUUUGAGUAAAUUAGAGUGUUCAAAGCAGGCUCACGCUUGAAUACGUUAGCAUGGAAUAAUGGAAUAGGACCUUGGUUCUAUUUUGUUGGUUUAUAGGACCAUAGUAAUGAUUAAUAGGGACAGUUGGGGGCAUUAGUAUUUCAGGGCUAGAGG